UUUGGGUGGCUUGUUCUUCCCAUCUGCCUUAACCCACCAUAUCUCAAUCUGGGGACCAUAGCAUUGCAAGCAUUUCAAAACCACAACCAGAUAAACACUGGGUGCUGCACCUGGCUCCUCAUCUUGGUUAGCAUCCAGCACAGAGAUGUAAAUUGCCGUGUUAAAUACAGCAAUGGUCGGAAACAACAGCAAGGUAAGCACUUGUUCAUGACUAACAAAACAUCACUGGCAAGAAACAGCAAACACCGCCGCUCUCCAGGGAUCUGGCUUGGAGUGCAUGAAAAACUCUUUAUUUCUGAGAGUUACUUCUAAAAUUCUUGACCUUCAGGAAAUGGUUCAAUUUCCCCAUAAA
rnacentral:lncRNA from 1 species